CCCUCCGCCCCCGGUCCCUACGCUGCUCAUCCACACGCGCACCACCCCCUCGUCUGGCUGGGAAUUUGAACCGCUCCAGCCUGUUUAAACGGAAAGGACACAGAUCCUCAAUGUAAAAAAAAAAAAAAAAGAAAAAAAAAAAAAAACCACACACAAGAACAAGAAACCAGCCCAGACCCAGGGAGCGAGGCAGAGAGGGAGGAGUGCGAGUGUGAGUGUGUAUGUGUGUGUGUGUGAACGCGGGAGCGAGAGCGAGCGAAGAGAAGCGAGGGUGGGGGGGGAAAGGGAAAGAAGAUUUUCUCUAUGUAUAUAAAGAUGGCCACGUUAGCAAACGGACAAGCAGACAAUACCAGCCUGAGUAGCAAUCACACCAACCCCAGCACCAACGGGCACAUGAACGGAUUAACCCACAGUCCCGGAAACCCCGCCACCAUCCCCAUGAAGGACCACGAUGCCAUUAAGCUCUUCAUUGGGCAGAUCCCCCGCAACUUGGACGAGAAGGACCUCAAGCCGCUCUUCGAGGAGUUCGGGAAGAUCUACGAACUGACGGUGCUGAAGGACAGGUUCACUGGCAUGCACAAAGGGUGUGCCUUCCUAACAUACUGCGAAAGGGAGUCUGCCCUGAAGGCCCAGAGUGCCCUGCAUGAACAGAAGACACUGCCAGGGAUGAACAGACCAAUCCAGGUGAAGCCAGCGGACAGCGAAAGCCGAGGAGAAGACAGAAAACUCUUUGUGGGCAUGCUCAACAAGCAGCAGUCAGAAGACGAUGUGCGCAGGCUAUUCGAGGCGUUCGGGAACAUUGAGGAGUGCACAAUCCUCCGGGGACCCGAUGGCAACAGCAAAGGGUGUGCAUUUGUGAAAUACUCCUCGCAUGCAGAGGCCCAAGCAGCCAUCAACGCCUUGCAUGGCAGCCAGACAAUGCCGGGGGCCUCCUCGAGCCUGGUGGUGAAGUUUGCAGACACGGACAAGGAGCGUACAAUGAGGCGCAUGCAGCAAAUGGCAGGACAGAUGGGCAUGUUCAACCCCAUGGCGAUCCAGUUUGGAGCGUACGGUGCCUACGCACAGGCACUGAUGCAGCAGCAGGCGGCUAUCAUGGCAUCCGUGGCACAAGGAGGCUACCUGAAUCCCAUGGCAGCCUUUGCCGCAGCCCAGAUGCAGCAGAUGGCAGCGCUGAACAUGAACGGUCUGGCUGCUGCUCCCAUGACGCCAACCUCAGGUGGGAGCACACCUCCUGGCAUCACUGCACCGGCUGUGCCUAGCAUCCCAUCCCCAAUCGGGGUGAAUGGUUUCACUGGCCUCCCACCGCAGGCUAAUGGGCAGCCCGCCGCAGAAGCUGUGUUCGCUAAUGGCAUCCACCCUUACCCAGCACAGAGCCCCACUGCAGCAGACCCCUUGCAACAAGCCUACGCUGGAGUGCAGCAGUACGCAGGUCCUGCUUAUCCUGCUGCUUAUGGCCAGAUUAGCCAAGCGUUUCCACAGCCGCCUCCCAUGAUCCCACAGCAACAGAGAGAAGGACCAGAGGGCUGUAACCUGUUUAUCUACCAUCUGCCCCAGGAGUUUGGGGAUGCUGAGCUGAUGCAGAUGUUCCUGCCUUUCGGUAAUGUCAUCUCCUCGAAAGUGUUUGUGGAUCGGGCGACAAACCAAAGUAAAUGCUUUGGGUUUGUGAGUUUUGACAACCCCGCCAGUGCCCAGGCUGCCAUCCAGGCUAUGAAUGGUUUCCAGAUUGGCAUGAAGAGGCUGAAGGUGCAGCUGAAGAGGCCGAAGGAUGCUAACCGUCCCUACUGAAGAGUUGUGGGAACCGCUGGAUACACAUGACUAGCACAGAGCCAGUCAAAUCCACCACAGUCUCGAGCUGAGCUAGGAAAAAAGUUCACGUAAUGACAUGAAAGUGGAGAAUACAGUCCCCCAGUCCGGCAGCAGCUGAAUGGGCCACAUUUAGAAAUAUAUAUAUAUAUAUAUUUUAAAAAAACAGGAACUGUUGGAUUACACCUUUGACAUAUCAGCAAAUAUCAAUCAAGCUGAAGACUUCAGACUUAUUCUCUCUUUGAUUGUUUAGACUGUAACAUUUCUUCAAGAAAAGUAUCACGUCUGCUGACUUCGAAGGACACGGGCUGGAAACAAACAAAAAUUAAUAAAUAAAUCAGAACAGGAACAAGAUCAACCAGGAUUUCUGAAGAGACAUUGAUAUCACCACAGCGGCUUUUCUCCAAACAGGAAAUGCAAACCUGGAUACGGACAAAGGAGUGCCUGUUUGCCACCAAGGAUGCGGCUACCAUGUUGACCCCAUGGUAACGGUCACUGAGCAUCUUUAUCUGUCAUUCCUUAGCUAUAUAGGGACCAAAGGACAAAACUUUUUAUCGCAGACUUGUAGCUGUAUGUAAAAUAUGGAAGUUCUUUGCUUUUCUCUGAGCUGUUCCUAAAACAGUUUUUGAGAGCAAUUAUAUGAAAUAUGUAAAAA